rnacentral:rRNA from 1 species
UACGUAGGGACCGAGCGUUGUCCGGAUUCAUUGGGCGUAAAGAGCUCGUAGGCGGCUGUUCAAGUCGAACGUGAAAACUCGGAGCUCAACUCCGAGCCUGCGUUCGAUACUGGACGGCUAGAGUCUGGUAGGGGGAUCUGGAAUUCCUGGUGUAGCGGUGGAAUGCGCAGAUAUCUGGAGGAACACCGGUGGCGAAGGCGGCGUCCUGGACCAACACUGACACUGAGGAGCGAAAGCCAGGGGAGCAAACGGG